UGCCUGGCGGCAGUAGCGCGGUGGUCCCACCUGACCCCAUGCCGAACUCAGAAGUGAAACGCCGUAGCGCCGAUGGUAGUGUGKKGUCCUACUCUCUGUCGAGUAGUGAACUGCCCCGAAA
rnacentral:rRNA from 1 species